rnacentral:rRNA from 1 species
CCGGUCGUACAGUGGCUUUCCCCUCUGUGGAAGUCUCCUGUGCCCCUGAAAAUAAAGAUAUUGCUAUGGCAGUUGCUUUGGGACCGCUUGCCCUCGGGGAUAGAGGUCCGUAAGCGCAACGGCCUGGGCGGCGGCAUUUGCCCUCUCUGUAGUGUCCCGGAGACAGGCUCUCACAUCCUGUUUUCUUGCACGAUGGUGAGGGCGCUGUGGAGCUUUGUGUGGGAUGCACUCGGGCCCGACUGGGAGGCUAGAGACCUGGAGGGAUUCCUGCAGGCCAGGAUGACCCAGACUGGGCGCAAGCGCCGCCUAUUCUGGCUUAUAUUCGCGGCUGGACCCUAUGGACUACUCGCAAUAAAAUGGUGA